rnacentral:rRNA from 1 species
CGUAGGUGGCAAGCGUUGUCCGGAAUUACUGGGUGUAAAGGGAGCGUAGGCGGGCAUACAAGUCAGAUGUGAAACCCAUGGGCUUAACCCAUGGCCUGCAUUUGAAACUGUAUGUCUUGAGUGAAGUAGAGGCAGGCGGAAUUCCGAGUGUAGCGGUGAAAUGCGUAGAUAUUCGGAGGAACACCAGUGGCGAAGGCGGCCUGCUGGGCUUUUACUGACGCUGAGGCUCGAAAGCGUGGGGAGCAAACAGGAUU